rnacentral:rRNA from 2 species
CUUAAACAACCAGGAGGUUGGCUUAGAAGCAGCCAUCCUUUAAAGAAAGCGUAAUAGCUCACUGGUCUAGUGAUUCUGCGCGGAAAAUAUAACGGGGCUAAAAUGAGUACCGAAGCUUUAGACUUAGUUUUACUAAGUGGUAGGAGAGCGUUGUAUUUGCGUUGAAGGUAUACCGGUAAGGAGUGCUGGAGCGAAUACAAGUGAGCAUGCAGGCAUGAGUAGCGAUAAUUGGGGUGAGAAUCCCCAACGCCGUAAACCCAAGGUUUCCUACGCGAUGCUCGUCAUCGUAGGGUUAGCCGGGUCCUAAGCAAAGUCCGAAAGGGGUAUGCGAUGGAAAAUUGGUUAAUAUUCCAAUGCCAACUAUAAUGUGCGAUGGAAGGACGCUUAGAGUUAGAGGAGCCAGCGGAUGGUAGUGCUGGUCGAAAGGUGCAGGUUGGAGUUCAGGCAAAUCCGAACUCCUUUAAGCCGAGGCCUUACAGGUGCGUGAAGUUCUUCGGAAUGAAUCGUAAAUCCUUGAUACUGUCGAGCCAAGAAAAGUUUCUAAGUUUAGUUAUAGUUGCCCGUACCGUAAACCGACACAGGUGGGUGGGAUGAGUAUUCUAAGGCGCGUGGAAGAACUCUCUUCAAGGAACUCUGCAAAAUAGCACCGUAUCUUCGGUAUAAGGUGUGCCUAACUUUGUGAAGGAUUUACUCCGUAAGCAUUGAAGGUUACAACAAAGAGUCCCUCCCGACUGUUUACCAAAAACACAGCACUCUGCUAACUCGUAAGAGGAUGUAUAGGGUGUGACGCCUGCCCGGUGCUCGAAGGUUAAUUGAUGACGUUAGCUCUGCGAAGCGUUUGAUCGAAGCCCGAGUAAACGGCGGCCGUAACUAUAACGGUCCUAAGGUAGCGAAAUUCCUUGUCGAUUAAAUAUCGACCUGCAUGAAUGGCGUAACGAGAUGGGAGCUGUCUCGAAGAGGGAUCCAGUGAAAUUGUAGUGGAGGUGAAAAUUCCUCCUACCCGCGGCAAGACGGAAAGACCCCGUGGACCUUUACUACAGCUUGACACUGCUAUUGGGAUAAAAAUGUGCAGGAUAGGCGGGAGGCUUUGAUCCAUAGACGCCAG